AUGAAGGGUUGAGCAAGCAGAACAGCUGAUUAGAAUUGGGAAGCUUUGAGAUUCCCAGCCCAGAGCUUCUGCUUUGUGAGGAGGAGUACUGAAAGCCCAGAAAGUCUGUGCUUUGCCUCAAGUUCUCUAAGUUCUAGGUUACAUUGGAAAAUAAGAAUAAGGGUCUUUACUGCUUGUUGUCCUGGUUAGUGCACUAAAUUACUGGUUAAGUCAGACUAGACUAGAAAUCAGAGUAGAUAGUUCUUGAGCUAACUUGAUUUUUUAUUUUUGACCAGGUCUACCAGUGAGGUCCUACCUGCCUUUAGUCUUCUAGCAACUGGCAAAACAGAAGACUUGUGUGUAUAUUGAACUGUAAUAAGAUGUGUUUUUAUGUGAAGAGACUGAGGGAUGCAGCUUGAGGACUGGUCCAUGAACAUCUGAAGAACUGCCAGAUCCACCCUCAAUCCAAACAUCUCUGGGCAGCUCUACUGUUGUCAGAGGAAGGGAACCAAUUCUGGGAGCACACUCCCAUGCAGGAACUCAAAUAGUGAAGACCCAGGUGCUGAGGAAAAAGAAAGAAACUAAGAAAAGAAAUAGAAGGACUUGUAAGCAAGAUUGCUUAUGUUGGAUUCUGGAUGAACAGCAAGAUCCAGUUUUUACUGCUACUGGAAAUUUUUAAGCAGUGAGAAGAUAAAUCUGUGAAGAAGGAAAUGUAAAAAGCUAGAAGAUGGAGGUAUAUGAGAAUCCUUGACUUAGCUUAGAAACACUAAAUUUGUCUUAGUGUAUCUAUUUGGUAAAUCCUCUAUUAGAAUUCUUGCUGUUCCUCAGAAAAUUCUGCAGACUUGAAAAUCAGCUGUUUAUUUCCUUCAGUCCUAAUCUUAUGUUUGCAAGAAAAGUGUUUGGAAGCUUGAACUUCGGCUGAAUCAUCUUUCCAUUCCUUCAAAUUGUGGUCACAGAAGCUCAUAACAAAUUAACCAUGGUAUCUGAACUGCUGAAUUUGUCUGCAGUUUGUACUGUUACUGGGUGCUGUUAGACUGGAGAAAGGAAAAUUCCAGCAAAAUAAUAUGAACAAUUGUGUUGAUUUAAAUGUGUAGGUCCAACCACCCAUUUCUUGUGAUUGUAUUGUUACUGCGUGUUUUCAUUUUCUGCCUGUGAAAUGUGACAAGUUCUUUCUUCUUCUAAUCAUAUAUAAAAUGAUAUGCUCUUUAGGAUGGUGACUUUUCCAUUCACAGCAUUCAGAUGAACCUUUGUGUCCAUUAAGCACCCAGUGC
rnacentral:lncRNA from 12 species